UAGGGAAUCUUCCGCAAUGGGCGAAAGCUUGCCGGAGCAACGCCGCGUGAGUGAUGAAGGUCUUCGGAUCGUAAAACUCUGUUAUUAGGGAAGAACAAAUGUGUAAGUAACUAUGCACGUCUUGACGGUACCUAAUCAGAAAGCCACGGCUAACUACGUGCCAGCAGCCGCGGUAAUACGUAGGUGGCAAGCGUUAUCCGGAAUUAUUGGGCGUAAAGCGCGCGUAGGCGGUUUUUUAAGUCUGAUGUGAAAGCCCACGGCUCAACCGUGGAGGGUCAUUGGAAACUGGAAAACUUGAGUGCAGAAGAGGAAAGUGGAAUUCCAUGUGUAGCGGUGAAAUGCGCAGAGAUAUGGAGGAGCACCAGUGGCGAAGGCGACUUUCUGGUCUGUAAAUAACGAUGAUGUGCGAAAGCGAGGGAAUCAAACGGG
rnacentral:rRNA from 1 species